rnacentral:rRNA from 1 species
UGCGAGUCGUUGUAGCAAUACAAGGCAUACGGCUCAGUAACGCGUAGUCAACCUAACCUAUGGACGGGAAUAACCUCGGGAAACUGAGAAUAAUGCCCGAUAGAACAUUAUGCCUGGAAUGGUUUAUGUUCCAAAUGAUUUAUCGCCAUAGGAUGGGACUGCGGCCUAUCAGUUUGUUGGUGAGGUAAUGGCCCACCAAGACUAUUACAGGUACGGGCUCUGAGAGGAGUAGCCCGGAGAUGGGUACUGAGACACGGACCCAGGCCCUAUGGGGCGCAGCAGGCGAGAAAACUUUGCAAUGUGCGAAAGCACGACAAGGUUAAUCCGAGUGAUUUCUGCUAAAGAGAUCUUUUGUUAGUCCUAGAAACACUAACGAAUAAGGGGUGGGCAAGUUCUGGUGUCAGCCGCCGCGGUAAAACCAGCACCUCAAGUGGUCAGGAUGAUUAUUGGGCCUAAAGCAUCCGUAGCCGGCUCUGUAAGUUUUCGGUUAAAUCUGUACGCUCAACGUACAGGCUGCCGGAAAUACUGCAGAACUAGGGAGUGGGAGAGGUAGACGGUACUCGGUAGGAAGUGGUAAAAUGCUUUGAUCUAUCGAUGACCACCUGUGGCGAAGGCGGUCUACCAGAACACGUCCGACGGUGAGGGAUGAAAGCUGGGGGAGCAAACCGGAUUAGAUACCCGGGUAGUCCCAGCUGUAAACUAUGCAAACUCAGUGAUGCAUUGGCUUGUGGCCAAUGCAGUGCUGCAGGGAAGCCGUUAAGUUUGCCGCCUGGGAAGUACGUACGCAAGUAUGAAACUUAAAGGAAUUGGCGGGGGAGCACCACAAGGGGUGAAGCCUGCGGUUCAAUUGGAGUCAACGCCGGG